rnacentral:rRNA from 1 species
UCCUGACUGACCGAUAGUGAACCAGUACCGUGAGGGAAAGGCGAAAAGAACCCCGGCGAGGGGAGUGAAAAAGAACCUGAAACCGUGUACGUACAAGCAGUGGGAGCCCCACCACUAAGCCAGUGGUGAACUCCACAUACGCAUCCUUUGCUGAGGAUACGGUUAACGGAGCGAAAGCGACGUUCAACCGCAAAAGAAGCAGAGGGGGCUUAGUGGUGGGGUGACUGCGUACCUUUUGUAUAAUGGGUCAGCGACUUAUAUUCUGUAGCAAGGUUAACCGAAUAGGGGAGCCGGAGGGAAACCGAGUCUUAAUUGGGCGUUAAGUUGCAGGGUAUAGACCCGAAACCCGGUGAUCUAGCCAUGGGCAGGUUGAAGGUUGGGUAACACUAACUGGAGGACCGAACCGACUAAUGUUGAAAAAUUAGCGGAUGACCUGUGGCUGGGGGUGAAAGGCCAAUCAAACCGGGAGAUAGCUGGUUCUCCCCGAAAGCUAUUUAGGUAGCGCCUCGUGAAUUCAUCUCCGGGGGUAGAGCACUGUUUCGGCUAGGGGGCCAUCCCGGCUUACCAACCCGAUGCAAACUGCGAAUACCGGAGAAUGUUAUCACGGGAGACACACGGCGGGUGCUAACGUCCGUCGUGAAGAGGGAAACAACCCAGACCGCCAGCUAAGGUCCCAAAGUCAUGGUUAAGUGGGAAACGAUGUGGGAAGGCCCAGACAGCCAGGAUGUUGGCUUAGAAGCAGCCAUCAUUUAAAGAAAGCGUAAUAGCUCACUGGUCGAGUCGGCCUGCGCGGAAGAUGUAACGGGGCUAAACCAUGCACCGAAGCUGCGGCAGCGACACUCAGGUGUCGUUGGGUAGGGGAGCGUUC